rnacentral:rRNA from 1 species
GGAAGGAUCAUUAUCGUACAAAAUGUGAGGGGCAUGUGAGGGCUGUCGCUGACUCAAAGUCGUGCACGCCCGAGUGUGUCCUCUCACAUAAUAAUCCAUCUCACCCUUUGUGCAUCGCCGCGUGAGCACCCUUUGGGAUCAUCUCGGAGGGGGCUCGCGUUUUCACACAAACCCCCCUUUUAAAAGUGUAGAAUGACCUCAUUUAUGCGCUAACACGCAAUCAAUACAACUUUCAACAACGGAUCUCUUGGCUCUCGCAUCGAUGAAGAACGCAGCGAAAUGCGAUACGUAAUGUGAAUUGCAGAAUUCAGUGAAUCAUCGAAUCUUUGAACGCACCUUGCGCCCCUUGGUAUUCCGAGGGGCACACCCGUUUGAGUGUCGUGAAAACCUCAACCUCCUUGGUUUCUUCUGGAGACCAAAGGCAGGCUUGGACUUUGGAGGCCCUUGCUGGAACCUCUCUCUUUUGAAGGCCAGCUCCUCUUAAACGAAUUAGCAGGGUCCUCUUUGCCGAUCCUCGACGUGUGAUAAGAUGUUUCCAUGUCUUGGUUUCUGGCUCUGUCACUUUUGGGACCCGCUUCUAACCGUCUUGACCUUGCAUCGAGACAAUGUUCGAGCAUGUCUCCCUUCUCGGGAAGCUCCCUCGACCCCACGAACCCUUGACCUCAAAUCGGG